CGGCGUAGAGGGCCCGCUGCUCCCGGUCCUCCGGGGUCAGGGCAGCCUGGCUGCAGAACCUCCUGGGAGAAAGGACAGCUGAAGCCUCUGCACACUAAGGAUGGACGGAAAGGAUACUGUCUUCUCCCGGGCUUCAGCGAUCACCAGGUUCUCCAUCAUCUGCCGCUGCAGGGACAGGGUCUAGGACGGGAAGGGUGGAAUAAGGCCUACUCUCCCCGCCGCCCUCACUCCGGACCCUCCUGGGCUCCGCUCACCAGGGAUGUCUUCUGCAUGGCCUGGCUGGGGUCCAGACGGGCCAUCCGGGCCUCGUAGGCGGCCUUCAGCUUCUGAUUCUGCAGGGAGGCUUCCUCCAGGGGUGUCAGCUCCCUGGAAUGGUGACAAGCUGCUGUCCAGGCUCCAGGAAGCCCAGGAACGCUCUGGUCACCUGAGGUCCCUUCCUGGCCCUGCCCUGAGACCGGAAGAGCUUUGUGACUCUACAACCUGAAGCUUCUGGAAGAUCUCAGGCGGCAGAAAUGGAGAGAGCUUCCCUCCCUCAUCUGAGUACACCCGGCGGUGUCGGCUGGUAGGAGAGGGGACGGGGGCAGCCACAGGCAUGGCUGGCCUCAGGCAUGUUUUCCCUGUAAGACAUACGUAGCCAAGGGUCUGCUCAGGGGCCUGACAUUCCACAAAGGAGAUGCAGACUUGGGACUUCCCUGGUGGCUCAGUGAUUAAAAAUCCGCCUGCCAAUGCAGGGGACACAGGUUUGAGCGCUGGUCCGGGAAGAUCCCACGUGCUGUGGAGCAACUAAACCCGUGCGCCACAACUACUGAGCCUGCGCUCUAGAGCCCGCGCGCCACAAGUAUUGAGCCUGCGUGCCUAGAGUCUGUGCUCCGCAACAAAGAGUAGCCCCCACUCACUGCAACUAGGGAAAGCCUGAGCACAGCAAUGAAGACCCAACGCGGCUAAAAAAUAAAUAAAUUAAUUAAUUUUAAAAAAACAAAAAAAAGGAGAAGCAAACUUGGGGGAGGGAUGUCCUAAGAAAGCUUUCUGCUGGACACCCACCAAGUUUGGCAGCUGUCGACUGGGCCCUCUCCAGACACUGCUCAGCCAGCUUCAGCAUCUUCGAGGUGUCA